rnacentral:tRNA from 1 species
GGGAAUGUGGCUUAGUGGUAGAGUCCUUGCCUAGCGUGCAAGAAGCCCUGGGUUCCAUUCCUCAGCACCA